UACGUAGGGUGCAAGCGUUAAUCGGAAUUACUGGGCGUAAAGCGUGCGCAGGCGGUUCUAUAAGACAGAUGUGAAAUCCCCGGGCUCAACCUGGGAACUGCAUUUGUGACUGUAGAGCUGGAGUGCGGCAGAGGGGGAUGGAAUUCCGCGUGUAGCAGUGAAAUGCGUAGAUAUGCGGAGGAACACCGAUGGCGAAGGCAAUCCCCUGGGCCUGCACUGACGCUGAGGAGCGAAAGCGUGGGGAGCGAACAGG
rnacentral:rRNA from 1 species